CCUCCCCCCGGCCCGGCCCGGCCCGCCGCUCCGGGCCCGGCUUCCGCUCACAACAUGGCCGCCCCGGUCCUACCUGCCCGACUCAACGGCGCCUGCGCGUCGCCACCGCCGGGCGGGGAUACCGCCGCCCCGGCCCUUCACCGGCCGCAGGUACCGGGCCGGGGGCGCCGAGCAGCGGGUUGCCUCGAAGCGGGAAAGUCAUACUUCGGCAGGCCAGGAGACGUGAAGAUAAAGCUGUCAAAAAAAAAUCCCCACAGGUUCUGAAAACAGCCCUUACUUUACUUUUUAUCCUCAGCUGUAAGCUAGUACACAAACAGCCGACUUAAACACAUAGCGAGAUCCACGAAUGUAUGCGGUCUUACAUGGUUCUCUUAAAACGUUAAGCGCUGUAAUAAACACCCAUCCUUUGGCAACGUCAGAUGGCUUGGCUGAUGCAGAAGAAUCCUUGAAACAUUAGACCAGCGGCUGAAGACGGGUACGGGUGUCAAAGCCAAAUUUUUCAGAACUGUGCUUGAGAAGGCCCCCGCUGCGUUUUCAACAGCCCCCACUGUCCCAAAGCGUUUCUAGAUUUGACAGGUCACGUGCUUUUUUCUGUCCUUCAUAAAAGUUAACGUUCUUUAAAUAUUUGGAGUUUUUUGGGGGGUGGGAGGAAUGGCAAGAGUGCUAGUAAUUAAAAAUGUGUGUGUGCGUGCAUGCACACAGCACUGUGAUGAACACAGGCUACUUCUGUUUCUGCUUGGUGGCGGUUUUGAUCCCACUUUGUAUUCACGUAAGCAUAAAUACCUAUCUACAGAGGAGUGGAUAGGCAGUUGCUCAUAAUGAAUCAGACUUCAGCUGGUACUACAGAGACUUCCAUAUCUGGAGUAAAAGGCCAUAGCUGAAUGAUCCCUUGAAGCCGUCACCACUGCCAGGAGAAGCAGCUGUGCCCUCCCCUUGCUCACUGCUCUUCAAUCUGGCCCUUGCAUCAGCCUCUCUUUUGAAGUGGUGCAAUUGCUUGUGCUGCCACGUGGUGAGUUAGACUGGGGAAUAGAUCUACGUCAAAACUAACCCUACCCUUUUUACCUUCUGUUGUCCGCAAAAAAAACCCCCCACCGACUAACGCUAUCAAAGUUUGAGUUAAAGGUUGAAGAGAGGUCGGGACUGAUUCCUUCAAAAAUGGACAAUUUGCAAAACUCUGGCCAGUUAUUGGUAUGAAAUUUAGAGCAAGGUAACAGAAAACAGAUAAUUCAGUAGCACUUGGCAGCAUUUAUGCUUAAUAGCAUGAUGUUAAUAGCAAGGAAUAAUUUUUUUGUAGUCUGAUCAGCACCAGGUCACUUCAGCCUCAAACUGGCUGCUGGAAUGUUGAAUAGAAAACUCAUAUAUAUUCACAGCAGUCGUACAUUAUGUGUUUGACACACAAAUCGGGACUUUUUAAAAAAUCCUUGAGUUCAUGUAAAAAUCCAUGAUGAAAAAAAUGUUUCCUUCCAUCCCUCUGGAAACGUCAUUUUCUACUCCCUCACAGGGAUAAUUCGCUUUACAUUAUCAAAGCUCAUGCAUUUGUACCUGCCUACAUCAACUACACACAGUGAGAUACGUACAUCUGAGACGUGCCAUUAGGGAGAAGAACCUAAGCAGCUGAAAGGUGGCGAUGGUAACAGUGAGAAAACCCUAACCCUAAGCUUGCAUUUAACAUAGUUCAAGCCAUCCCUCUUUAUAUUAGACUUCCUUCCUCUAAAUAAAAAAUUCCAUGAUCUCCUCUUUUCCUUUCAUAGUUGUCUAGUCCUUUCCUGCCAUAGGUGCCUAUUCCAAAUUACUUGUUUGAAUUAAAACUCUCUUUAGAAGGAGAGUGGGUGUCACAUUUCAGUUAGUGUCUCUAAAUUUUGUGUGUUGGUCAUCUUUUGUCCUUCCCUGUAUGUGUCCUACGAAUCCAGAAAAAACAAGGGCAAAGAUCUUAUGCGCUAGCUUAUAAGAGGACUGCAAACAAUAGAAAUCUGACCUUUUCUCAGGCACUGAAGUACGGAGGGUAGGCAGAAGUAUGCCAUUUCAUUGUUCAGGGGUUUGAGUAUUAUCACACCACACAUUUAAAUUUUGUAAAGGAAAAAACUGCAUCAAGAUUUUAAUAGAAGCUACUAUGCAAGGACAGAGUUCAGGGCAAGAAAAUAAUCUGGAAAUUGUCUCCAUGGGGAAGAGAAACAUAUCAGUUAAUCUCUGGGAGAUGCGGGGGAUUCUGACUUUCAGAUCCUGCUAAGCUCAGACUUGGAUCAUCCUCCCGGUGAGAGGUAAGACGCUGAAGAUAUUUUGCCUCAAGACAGCAGCUCCUGUUUUUCAUUUCUUUUGUCUCAGGCCAAAGCAAGAUCAUGCUUUCACCCGUGGCAGCAGGCCUUUCCUUUUACCCUCUUUCCCUCUAGGCACAGCCAUCGCUACUUGACUGUAGUCACCACGAAUAACUGUCUGUCACCAGACUUGGUUGUGGGGGUUUAUUUCACCUUUGCAUAAGUGGUUGCAAUCGUAUUGCAUCCACAGAGAUGUUUUACAUGCAUUGCACUGGAAAAUUUGUGAUCACAUUCGUUAGGAAAAGGGUAGCGUGUGGCACUGAAAUGAUAGUGCUGCAUAAAAUCCUGUUAACCUGUCAUCACAUGAAUUUGGUGGGCUUCACGAGCUGCACCAUUUUUUGAUCUCGCUUCUAACAAAUCUCACUAAAAUGUCACCCUAUUGAAAGGGAGACAUCAGCUUAGUAGGACUUACCUGUCUUUCUCCACAGAAAGCGUCUUGAUGUGUGAGUAGCAGAAAUUGGGGAAGCUUGCUUACGGUCGGUGGUAUCUAAUGCUUUGCCUAGCUUUGGAGUAGUACCUACUUACUCUUUGCAAUUAAGGCAGAAUUCACGGCAGAGUUAGUAAAUCACCAUAGUCAUACUCCAAAAAUAAUAAGUGUAAAACAGGAUUAGUUUGCUAUUAUUACUAUCAGAAUAAUAUUUGGGAGCUUGAACUUGCAUUUUUAAAAUAUAAAUAGAAGGGGGGGAAAAACAAAGCAAACUAUUUAUGGCAACAAAAACCACAAUCCAACAUGCCUCUAGAAGGUGUAGUAGUGUGUUAGGUGUGAAUUAUAAUGCAGUAUCUUCUGGAUUAAAGUGAAUAGCAUAUGAAAAAGUAAAUGCAUUCCAAAAGUGUGAAAUUCAGUUUCAAGUAUUACAAUCACAAUACUGAGGUGUAUGAUUUGAAUUUAAUACACAAGAAAAUAUACAGAAGGUACUGUCCAAAUUUACAUGGGAAAAACCUCCAAGGAGUUAAAAAAAAAAAAAAUCGAUACAUUUUAUUUGUACAGCUAGUAGAUGCAGAGAGUCUCUUACUCUCAAGACACCUGGAUUCAGUUCCUAGCAGAUCACAAAGGACAAUUGUGUAAUUUAGCAAGUCACCUAAUAUAGAUGAGAUUCAACUAAGGAGCCUUAGUCUUUCUUAAUGAUGUUUUCAAAAGUGUGAAGAGGCCUUGAUUGGAGAAGUGUAAAUACAUCCUGCCAAAAUAGACUAAGGAAGCCUUAGUGCUAAUUAGAACUGGUUGCUCCAUGCUUUAGUUGCAAAUAUAAAGAACAUCUCCUUAACCUCAUUGGGAUAUUGAAAGGAUGGUUUCACCGAUGUUUGGAAAGCUGACAAAGACCAGGGGGAGAGAGACAAAGUGCUGCAAGAAGUUUCCAGCUGGUGUGAGUUGUCAUAGCAGAGACACCAGAAGGAUCGGCUAUAGGAACCAGGUUUAAAGAAAGUUUUAAUCAAUAAUUAAAAAGGGAAGAACUGAAAUGAAUGUCUCUUGUGUAUUAAGACUUAACCUGACCUUUCAAAACAACAUCUGCUGAAGGGUGCUUUCACCAUUACAGGCCCCUGGAUGAUGGAAUCGUACAGGAAUGCAAACAUUUCCUACAAUUUCCUCUGGCAGGCUCUUCUUUGAAGUUCUGAUCCUGCAAGUGUAGUAGAAGACACGAUAAUGACAAUGAGAAUACUUCUAAAUGCUCCGUAUAUUAGAGAUAUGGUGUCUGACUCACCGCUUAAAACUCUAGGUUUUCUGGACAUGUGUAUAUUUGCAUAAAAUUGCACUGAAAGAGUAAAGCCUAAUGGAUCAGGCUCAAUGGUAUUACUGCUCUGAGUUUUAUCUGUGGUCACUAUACUAGCAGGAAAUAUUGUGCCUGUGGUUUCUACAUCCUGAGUGGAAAUCUGGAAUUCAAUAAAAUAUGGUCUCAUUACAGCA